rnacentral:rRNA from 1 species
AUUGAACGCUGGCGGCAGGCCUAACACAUGCAAGUCGAGCGAGCGGCGGACGGGUGAGUAAUGUAUGUGGAUCUGCCCGAGAGAGAGGGAUAACUACUGGAAACGGUAGCUAAUACCGCAUACUAUCGGAUGAACCCCUAUGGGAUUAGCUAGUUGGGGGGGUAAAGGCUCACCAAGGCAACUCUCCGUAGCUGGUUUGGGAGGACGACCAGCCACACUGGAACUGAGACACGGUCCAGACUCCUACGGGAGGCAGCAGUGGGGAAUUUUGGACAAUGGGGGAAACCCUGAUCCAGCCAUGCCGCGUGUAUGAUGAAGGCCUUCGGGUUGUAAAGUACUUUUGGCAGAGAAGCGGUACCUGCAGAAUAAGCACCGGCUAACUACGUGCCAGCAGCCGCGGUAAUAC